CCGAAACCAGAUGAUCUAUCCAUGGCCAGGUUGAAGGUUGGGUAACACCAACUGGAGGACCGAACCCACUAACGUUGAAAAGUUAGGGGAUGAGCUGUGGAUAGGGGUGAAAGGCCAAUCAAACUUGCUGAUAGCUGGUUCUCCGCGAAAUCUAUUUAGGUAGAGCGUCACGAUUAGACUCUGGGGGGUAGAGCACUGAAUGGGCUAGGGGUCCUCACCGGAUUACCAAACCUUCUCAAACUCCGAAUACCCAGAAGUUAUGCGUGGCAGACACACGGCGGGUGCUAACGUCCGUCGUGAAAAGGGAAACAACCCAGACCGCCAAUUAAGGCCCCUAAGUAAUAGCUAAGUGCGAAACGAUGUGGAGGUGCUGAGACAAUCAGGAGGUUGGCUUAGAAGCAGCCAUCCUUUAAAGAAAGCGUAACAGCUCACUGGUCUAAUUAAGAGGUCCUGCGGCGAAGAUGUAACGGGGCUCAAGACACGCACCGAAGCUUAGGGUGUGAUC
rnacentral:rRNA from 1 species